CCUGAUUGAUCUUGUCAGCUCAAUUUGCUAAUUUCAAAGAUUAAUCCAUGCAAUCGCAAGUAAAUCGAUUGAUUUCCGAGAGAAACGGAAGACAGCUCAUUACAACAGUUCGCAAAGAAGCGAUGAUACACUUUUAGGCUUCGGUCUAAUUGUAAUCUGGAUAUCGUCUCGAAUCGAGACGCUAAUACGUGUUACCAACUCAAGAGAAACUUUAGUGUUUUGAGAGUGAAUUUAUUUACAAGGGAGAUGUUUUCAGAAUUUCAUCUCCAAUUUUUGAACUUUUAUAAAUGUACAUAUCGAGGAGUCCAACGUGGCUCUCUUGAAAGCACGCACUUCGAACUGAUCUAUCAAUUUGUUUGUGGUAUCUCUUGACUAAAAAGAUAUUGACGGAUAACGAAAGAUCAGGGUUUGAUCUCGGAGAGGAGGCCUGAUACAUUGCCUCCACUUCCAAGGAAGGCAGCAGGAGCGAAAAUUACUCAAUGACACAUCGUCGAAGUAGUGACGAGAAAUACCAGAGCUGGGUCCAAAUUGGAACAGUAUUUGGGAUGAGUACAAUCUAAAACCAUUAACGAGCAACAAUAAGAGGGCAAGUCUGGUGCCAGCAGCCGCGGUAAUUCCAGCUCUUAGUGUGAAUUUGGAUGUUGCUGCAGUUAAAAAGCUCAUAGCCAAUUUUACAGGCAUGAAGUUUUUACAUACCUAAUCGUUCAAACGAGAGGGUUGUAGAUGACUUAAAGCAAGAAAAAACUUUAGAGUCCCUAGGUCGGAGUAAAAUUUGGCUUAGGACCGGUGGCCUUUACGCAGGUCAUUGGUUUUCUGGAGUGUUAUAACUUUGAAUAAAUUAGAGUGUUCAAAACAAGCUUUUCAGCUUUGAAUAUAUUAGCAUGGUAUUAUGAAAUAUGACAAAUUCAGGUCAUAUAAAGUUCUGGGGGUCGUAAGGCCUCAAAGAAUCUGGAUUUGUAAUGAGAGAAAAAAAUAGAAUGAGUGACCUGUACUCUCAGGGGAAAGGUGAAAUUUUAUGAUCCUGAGAAGACAAACUGAUGCGAAAGCUCUCCACUGAGAUGUUUUUUUUAGUCAAGAACGAAAGUUCAGGGCGCGAAGAUGCUUAGAUACCAUCGUAGUCUGAACCGUAAACAAUGUUGAUUUAGGAUGUGUGAUCAUUAUUUUAUGACUUCAUACGCACUAUACGAGAAAUCCAGAAUAUUCGAACUCUGGGGGUAGUAUAGUCGCAAGACCGAAACUUAAAAGAAUUGACGGAAGAGCACCACAAGGCGUGGAAUCUGCGGCUUAAUUUGACCCAACUCGGGAAAACUUACCAGGACAAGACGUAAAAAGGAUUGACAGAUUGAUAGCUCUUUCAUGAUAAUACGAAAGGUGGUGCAUGGCCGUUUUUAGUUGGUGGUUUGAAUUGUCUGGUUAAAUCCGAUAACGAACAAGACCUUUUCCUGCUAUUUAGCUUAGGAGGGUCUGAUAAAAUUGGGAAGACUA
rnacentral:rRNA from 1 species